rnacentral:rRNA from 1 species
UACAGAGGGUGCUAGCGUUGUUCGGAUUUACUGGGCGUAAAGCGCACGUAGGCGGAUCAGCAAGUUAGGGGUGAAAUCCCGGGGCUCAACCCCGGAACUGCCUUUAAGACUGUUGGUCUGGAGUCCGAGAGAGGUGAGUGGAAUUCCGAGUGUAGAGGUGAAAUUCGUAGAUAUCGAGAGGAACAUCGGUGGCGAAGGCAGCCUUCUGGACGAUGACUGACGCUGAGACGCGAAAGCGUGGGGAGCAAACAGG